UACAGAGGGUGCGAGCGUUAAUCGGAAUUACUGGGCGUAAAGCGUGCGUAGACGGCUAUCUAAGUCGGGUGUGAAAGCCCCGGGCUCAACCUGGGAAUUGCAUUCGAGACUGAAUAGCUAGGGUACGGUAGAGGGAAGUGGAAUUUCCGGUGUAGCGGUGAAAUGCGUAGAGAUCUGGAGGAACACCGAUGGCGAAGGCAGCCUUCUGGGCCAACACUGACGCUCAUGCACGAAAGCGUGGGGAGCAAACAGG
rnacentral:rRNA from 1 species